GACGUAGGGCGCGAGCGUUGUCCGGAUUUAUUGGGCGUAAAGAGCUCGUAGGCGGCUUGUCGCGUCGUUCGUGAAAACUUGGGGCUCAACCCCAAGCUGCGGUCGAUACGGGCAGGCUGGAGUUCGGUAGGGGAGACUGGAAUUCCUGGUGUAGCGGUGAAAUGCGCAGAUAUCGAGGAGGAACGAGCCGGUGGCGGAAGGCGGG
rnacentral:rRNA from 1 species